CUCCUAGGCUCUGGUUCCAGCCCAGCCUCACGGACGCAGAGAUGGAAAUCCCAAAGUUGCUCCCGGCUCGCGGGACACUACAGGGCGGCGCCGGCGGUAUCCCCGCGGGUGGCGGCCGAGUCCACCGAGGCCCUGACCCACCGGCUGGCCAGGUCCCCACGCGCCGCCUCCUGCUGCUCCGGGGCCCUCAAGAUGGCGGGCCCGAGCGGCGGCGCGAGGAGGCCCGCAGGGCCUCACCGAGCCCUGGCCCAAGCCUGUUGGCGCCGAGGCCCGAUCAACCUAGCGGCGGCGGCGGCGGCGACGACGACUUCUUCCUGGUGCUGCUUGACCCGGUGGGUGGCGACGUGGAGACCGCGGGCUCGGGUCAGGCCGCAGGGCCUGUGUUGAGGGAGGAGGCCAAGGCGGGCCCGGGGCUCCAGGGGGAGGACAGCGGCGCGAACCCCGCGGGCUGCUCUGCGCAGGGCCCCCGCUGCCUGUCCGCGGUUCUCACUCCGGCCCCGAUCUCUGCCCCCAGCCCCGCCGCGGCCUUCGCGGGCAUAGUCACUAUCCACAACCAGGACCUGCUGUUGCGCUUUGAGAACGGCGUCCUCACCCUGGGCACGCCGCCACCACACGCCUGGGAGCCCGGGGCCGCUCCUGCCCAGAAGCCCAGGUGUCAGAUCGCCCCCCAAGCCGGGUUCCCGCAUGCCGCGCAGCCGGGUGACUGCCCAGAGCUGCCGCCCGACCUCCUGCUAGCCGAGCCGGCCAAACCCGCGCCUGCUCCGGCGCCCCAGGAGGAGGCGGAGGGCCUGGCCGCCGCCCUGGGCCCCCGCGGACUGCUGGGCUCUGGCCCAGGCGUGGUGCUGUACCUGUGCCCCGAGGCGCUGUGCGGGCAAACCUUCGCCAAGAAGCACCAGCUGAAGGUGCACCUGCUGACGCACAGCAGCAGCCAGGGCCAGAGGCCCUUCAAAUGCCCCCUGGGUGGCUGCGGCUGGACCUUCACCACCUCUUACAAGCUCAAGAGGCACCUGCAGUCGCACGAUAAACUGCGGCCCUUCGGCUGCCCUGCGGAGGGCUGUGGCAAGAGCUUCACCACCGUGUACAACCUCAAGGCGCACAUGAAGGGCCAUGAGCAGGAGAACUCAUUCAAAUGCGAGGUGUGCGAGGAGAGCUUCCCCACGCAGGCCAAACUCGGCGCCCACCAGCGCAGCCACUUCGAACCCGAGAGGCCUUACCAGUGCGCGUUUUCUGGCUGCAAGAAGACAUUUAUCACAGUGAGUGCUCUGUUUUCCCAUAACCGCGCCCAUUUCAGGGAACAGGAACUGUUUUCCUGCUCUUUCCCUGGCUGCAGCAAGCAAUAUGACAAGGCUUGUAGGCUGAAAAUUCACCUGCGGAGUCACACCGGCGAGAGACCUUUCCUUUGUGACUUUGAUGGCUGUGGCUGGAACUUCACCAGCAUGUCCAAACUCUUAAGGCACAAAAGGAAGCACGACGAUGACCGGAGGUUCAUGUGCCCUGUGGAAGGCUGUGGGAAAUCUUUCACGAGGGCUGAACAUCUGAAAGGCCACAGCAUAACCCACCUGGGCACAAAGCCUUUCGUGUGUCCUGUGGAAGGCUGCUGUGCCAGGUUCUCUGCUCGCAGUAGCCUCUACAUUCACUCCAAGAAACACCUGCAGGAUGUGGACACUUGGAAAAGCCGUUGCCCGAUCUCCUCUUGUGAUAAACUCUUCACAUCCAAGCACAGCAUGAAGACGCACAUGGCCAAAAGGCACAAGGUGGGCCAGGAUCUCUUAGCUCAGCUAGAAGCAGCAAAUUCUCUUACACCCAGCAGUGAACUUGCCAGCCAGAGACAGAAUGAUCUCAGUGAUGCAGAGAUAGUGUCUCUCUUCUCUGAUGUACCUGACAGUACUUCUGCUGCAUUGCUGGACACAGCAUUGGUGAACUCUGGAAUCUUGACUAUUGAUGUGGCUUCUGUGAGCUCAACUCUGGCAGGGCACCUCCCUGCUAAUAAUAAUAAUUCCGUAGGGCAGGCUGUGGACCCUCCGGCCUUGAUGGCCACCAGCGACCCUCCUCAAAGCCUGGAUACCUCUCUCUUUUUUGGAACGGCGGCCACUGGUUUUCAGCAAAGCCCCUUAGAUAUGGAUGAGGUCUCAAGUGUAAAUGUGGGGCCAUUGGGAUCUCUGGGCUCUUUGGCCAUGAAAAACUCCAGUCCAGAGCCCCAGGCUUUGACACCCAGCAGUAAGCUAACAGUGGACACAGAUACUCUGACUCCUUCGAGCACCCUUUGUGAAAACAGUGUCUCAGAACUACUGACACCAACCAAAGCGGAGUGGAGCGUACAUCCUAACUCUGACUUCUUUGGACAAGAGGGAGAAACCCAGUUUGGAUUCCCCAAUGCAGCAGGAAACCAUGGUUCUCAGAAAGAAAGAAAUCUUGUCACUGUGACUGGCAGCUCAUUUUUGGUAUGAACCAAUUCUAUUCAUUCCUUGCCAUGUGGCUAACUUUUAUUACAGUCAAUUUUGAGGAUAUUCUGGACUAAAUAUUUAAGUGGAGUCAUUUCUUUUUGGUUUGCAAAAAGAGCACAGCCCUGGACUACAAGUUUGGAGAUCUAAAUUCUGAUCUUGAGUCUGGAACUGACAAGUUGUGUGACCCUGAGCAAGUCACUUAACCUAUCUGAGCCUUAAUUUCCUUAUUUAUAAAUUGUGGUGGUUUGAACACAUUGCUCAUAAGGUCUUUUCAGUUUUGUUUUUUUGUGUGUGUGAUUUUGUGCUUUUUCUUGAAAAUUUUCGGGCAUUUUGCAAUUAUUAUUGUUUGUACUUGUAAUGAGAAGCGGUUUGAGCCCUGUAGCACUAAAUAAUGAAAGAUGGAGGAACUGGUGUUUUACAUUAAAAAUUUAAUGGAAAUUUUACACAGUACGAAAAUCUAAUGAUAGAGCUAAAAAAAAAAAAGAGCUAAAAAUCGGGGUUGGUUCUUCUUAGCUGUUUAUCAUUCUAACCUUUUUUUAAAUGAUGAAGGUAUGUUUUUGUUGUGGAAAAUACAAGGGCUUUUGUUAUCACUCAGACCCAGAGUGAAAUGUUUGCUUUGUGGUUUUGAAUAAGUUGGCCUUUAACAAAUUAUUUAGUCUCUCUUAGCCUCAGUUUUCUAUCUGUAAAAUGGUCAUAGCAAUGUGAACAUAUGUGUUACAUCCUAGACUUAUUUUUCUACCCCGGUAGGUUGUAUUGAAAGGAAAAUGUUAUAUGUGUUUCAGCAUGUUUUGGUGAAUCUUCAUUCCCUUUCCUGCCCCUUGUUUUCCCUCCUCAAAGGGGAUAAAUUAGCACAAAUUAGUAUCAGGAUUGUGCAGGAAAUAAACGUUUGUGAAGGUUAAGAAAGAGGAAAAGGAACUUAUUUCUUCAACAGAUUAAGAAGGAUUUUUCUCCACACAGUUCUUUUGUGGCAUUGGCCACAUGUCCAUUAGACCAGUCUGAUAGUAUCUUUGGUCUGCAUUCAAAGCCAGCUCAUGCAAUGAGUAUUCAGCCUAUUCUUCCAAGACAAUCUGGAAUCUGGACAUAGACCAGAGGGAGAUUUUUCUCCCCUCUGUGCCCUAGAGAGCUCAUUGCUGGCUUACUCUUAGAGUUGAAAUGAGAGAGUUUUGUCUGCAUUUUGAGUAGAUACCAUCUAUCUUAUGUGAGUAGCAUUUUACAAUUUAGCACUUUCACAACUAUUAUAUUUGAUCCUCACAAUCCUGUGAGGUAAUUAUGGCAAAGCCAGAUCUACAAUUCAUAUUAAAAUUUACCUAGCUCAUAUUACAAAUGUAUUUCACUUAGUAACUAGUGUGUGUGUGUGUGUGUGUGUGUGUGUGUAGCUCAAAACAAAGAGGAAAUAUUUCUCACUCUCCCAUUCGACUCUUGAGUUUCAUGACUAUUUUAUUUAUAACUGUUUGCUGCCUCCCACCUUAAUUGAUUUCUCUUACAUUCUUUGUACUCCACGCUAUUUCCUUGUAGGUGUACACCAGUCCUUGCCAUGAAUCUCUUUUACUUACAUUUGAAUUAGACACGUCUCUUUCAUGGUCACCAUCUCUCAGCCAUUCUUCUUAUGGCCCAUUUUUCAGUCACAGUAUUACUGCAAGUAUGUGUGUACAUUGAGAAGUUAUUUUGUGGAUUUAGAUGGCAAUGUGUUUAUACAUGAAUCAGAUAAUAAUGGAGACAUUUUAUAUAACGCGUUAGUGAGAAGUAGUUCUACUUUUCCUUUUUUACAAUGUGGUCCUGGUAGCAAACACUAUUAGUUGCUUUCAACUAUUGUAACCCAGUAUUGUUUACAUGUGGAUACUUGGGGAAAAUUAUUAUGGCACUUUAACAGUGCACUUUAAUAUAUACCACCUUGAUAUAUAUCUUUACUGUCUUUAUAAUUUUUAAGUUGGUUGUACUUAUUCAAUGAAAAAGCAAAAAAUACACAUAAAUUUGUAAUUCAAAGAAAUAUAAUUUUGUGUCUAACCAUUUAACAGUUCUCCCUUAGUAUUUUAGAAAGAUUUUAAGCCAUUUUAGAAAUGUGUUGUCAUUAGUUAAGUCCUCUUAAAUAGAUUAUUAUUAUUUUCCUAUAGAAAAUGCAGAGGCCUGAGGUGAACGCAAGGGUCAUAGGCAUCCAUUAAGAUACAUAACUAUGUAGAUAUUUUAAAACUCUGUCACAUUGUUUCCUUAAUCCCUCAGACCUAUUUCCUCCCAUGAAAACUAUCAUAAGCUACGCUUUUGUUAUGGUCUAUAGAAUUUCAAAGGACAAAUUGUUUUUUUUUUUUUUUAUGAUAAAGAUCUUGUGAUUGUCCGUGGGCUCACAUGGUUUCUUUUGUUCAAUUUUUUCAAAAGAUUUCUUUUUCAAUACUGUUGUCCCACCAUGAUAGUUGACAUGGCAUGUAAUUACAGACAGAAGUGUGACUGUAAACAUAUUAGUGUUUCUGUUAGUGUUGGCAUAAGCUUGCCUUUUUAUUUUGGAACAUGAUUUAAUUUUAUCUCAUUUGCCUUUUGUUUAUCUUCAGUCCUUGAUUUAUUAACAUUUUGCCAAUUGAAAACACAAUAAAAAAUGCCUUGCAGGAAGGUUUGAUUCUGGGGGAUCCUGAUGAGCAUAUUUAUCAUGAGUUUAAAUAUGUUAAUCUUGACAUUUUUACCAGUUAUCUCAUUAUAGUGUUACAUAAUUGAAAGCCUUGAAUAGUAAAAGUGAAACUUGUUGGAAUAUGAGGAUCAUCUUUCUCUGUGGAUUAAAUGCUUCAUAUUCUCAUCCAAGAAAAAUAAGGUAAGGCAUUAGUAUAACAGGGUAUUUUUGACUGUUCCUUGAUUCCACAUAAAGCAGUGAUUAACUCCCUGAUGGGAAUAUUCAUAAUCCCUUGGUAAUUAUUGGUAUCAAACAGAUCCACUUGAUAACUUCAUGAUGAUAAAAACUAAAUUAAAUGCAACUCACUCAAAAUAUGUGACAAUUGAAAUGUAAGGCCGAACUGAAAUUUAUAUAUAUAUAUAUAACUGAAAUUUGUAUAUAUUAUAUAUGUAAUUGAAAUUUAUAUAUAAUAUAUAAAUUUAUAUAUUAUAUAUAUUUUUAUAUUUAUAUAUUAUCUAUAUAAUAAUUAUAUAUAAAAAUUUAUAUAUUUACAUAUAUAUAUCGCUUUUUUGAAAAGUAGGUUUGCUUAACAAUUUUUUAAAAAGCAAAUUGUAUGCUAGGGUUUAAAGCAGGAGUCCCCAACCCCAGGCCACGGACAGGUACUAGUCCAUGGCGUAUUAGAAACUGUUCUGCAUAGCGGGAGGUGAGUGGCGGCCAGGGAGCAAAACUGAGCUCCACCUCUUGUUAGAUCAGCAGUGGCAUUAGAUUCUCAUAUAGGAGCACAAACUCUAUUGUGAACUGCGCAUGGGAGGGAGCUAGAUUGCACACUGCUUAUGAGAAUCUAAUUCGUAAUGAUCUGUCGCUGUAUCCCAUCGCCCCAAAAUGGGACCAUCUAGUUGCAGGAAAACAAGCUCAGGGCUCCCACUGAUUCUACAUUAUGGUGAAUAUGUAAUAAUAAUAUAAAGCACACAAUAAAUGUCAUGUGCUUGAAUCAUUCCAGAGCUAUCCCCCCAUCUGUGGAAAAAUUGUCUUCCACUAAACUGGUCUCUGGUGCCAAAAUGGCUAGGGACCAGGUGUUUAGGGAACAUAUUGUUUAAGCACCAAAAAAACUAUAAAAAGCAAAGCAAUCAUUAAAAAUGAUUUUUAUAUGUUUAUGAAAUCUAAAUAGAUGGGGCCUUUGGUAACAAUUUUUAAGCUAUGAUCCCCUCUGCCUAUUUCAAGUUAAUUUACUGACUCCUUACAGAAUGCAAGGUAGAAUACUAGGGAUAUAGAUAAGAGUAAAAUAUGAGCCAUAUCUUAAUUUUGGAGAGGACGUAGAAAUUCACCUAUUAGCCAUUUUACAACUAAACAAAAUCAACGAACAUGUUUUCAGGCACCAAAUGAAUGGCUUGGAGUGAAAGGAGAGGCAGGAGCUGGAGUUUAAUGGGUGGUUACAUUUAGUUAUAUAAAGAAGAGUGUUGGUGAAUUCCAGCCUGGGAGAAAAGCACAAAUAACUCAAAAUGGAAUUAGCCACACAACACUGUGAAAAAUAGCCUAACUCAAAUUCAGGGCUCAUAUUUGGUAAGUGCUGGGUGUUAGGGUUAGACUGCCAGUAUGGAGCCAAAUUCUGGAAGGCAAUACAAACCAGUCAGAGUAGAUAGGACUUUAUUCUGGAUAUGAUUGAAAGCCAGUGAAGAUAUUUGAGAAGGGAAGUCAAAUGUGAUUAUAUAAAAAUACUAAUAUAGUGGACAUGUAUAAUGUGGAUACGAUGGGGGAAAUAGUGCAGUCACUUAGGAGUCGGUUGUAAUAAUUCCGGAGUGUUGUGAUGAAGGCUUGGACUGAAGUGGUGACGAGAAGAGACAGAGAUAUAGGAGUUGUGUCCUAAUUGAGGAAAUGAAUAUAAUUUGGUGACUUACUGAAUGUAUAGGACACCCAUCAGAAAGAGAAAGGAAGAUUAAAAAUGUCCCUAAGGAUUUCUUGGAUACUAUAAAAAUUACACUUGAUUAAUAUGAACAAAGUUGUGUAAUAAAAUAUUUUCAGGAAUAUUUAUGGAAAGAUGAUUAGGACAUGCUUAAUUUAUCAGGAAGUGAUAAACUAUGGCUAUUUCUGAAUAAAUCAUGCAUAUUCUAGAUUAUCCACACUGUUAGAUGACUUUAUUUUGUUUGGCUCCCUCAUAUGUUCUUAGAUUCACAUUUGAUGUUUAUAAUGUUAUUUCCCUUUGAGAAUCUGCAGGACUCUUCAACCUUGUACAAUAUAAGCCCAGACUACUCUGUAUCAAAAUGAGCUAUGUCGUCUCUGGCUGCCAUUUCUUUCUUACUACUGCUUUCUGCUACUACAGAUAUUCAACAGAUUGGAAUCCCGGAUAUAUUAAGUAUAAAACCUGAGAGUGAUCUUUUGGAAAUUAUAUAAAACAAACAUUUUGUUUCCAAAUGAGAAAACCAUAGCAUAUAAAUAAAUGGUUUUACACCUGUAAUUUUUGAAAUAGUUUUUACUUUCCUUAUAUUGGACACACAAGCAAAUUUUAAUUUUCUGAAACAAAAAAAAAACCAAGACUUUAAUUAGAAAGUAAUUAUUUUACAUGGGUAUGCUAGCUGAAAAUAAGGCUAUAAAGACUUCAUUUGAUACUUGGGAAUGACAACUACUGGAGUUGAACAUGGAGAAUCCUGAAACUUCACCAAUCAUGUGAUGAGGGAUAGUGUUUCUCAUCAAGCAAGUCUCUCACAUUCUGAAUAAAGUAUAACUGACUGAAUACAUUUGGAAAGGAAACAAAGCCCAUUAUAAAAAAAUAAAGCUCACUAUAGUGAUAAAUAAUAUUUUGUGUUCUCACCACAAAAAGUAUAUGAGAUAAUGCAUGUGUUAAUUAGCUCUAUCUAGUCAUUCCGCAGUGUUAUACAUAUUUUCAAACAUAUUGUAUAUGAUAAAUAUACACAAUUUUUGUCAGUUUAAAAAAUAAAUACAUUUAACAAUAAAAAUUGCACAUGGUAGCCAAAAUGAAAACAUUUCAAUUCGAAGCCAGUCUUUCCUUGGAAUAAAGUCAAGAAAUGAUUCAUCUUUGUCAAGACUUAUUUCCCUUUCCUGUGUACACAGUAGAGGGAUAUAACUGCAGUGUGAAAUAACAUAAUACUGCAUGUGGAAUAAGGAGGCUUCUCUCAUGUCUAUUUGUGGGGAAAUUAGCCAAAUUAGAGAGCUAAAAUGGAAAUUCCACAGGCAAUGACUCAGUGAAUAGAAGUUCAUUCCAGGCAAGGUCCAAUUUUAGAAUGUGCUGCUAGGCAGAGUGUGAACUAUUUUUCCUCCCGAUUUGUGUUGGCAUUAGUUCAUUAAUGCUAAACUUGGCCUUUGAUAUUUCCAAAGAGAUGCAACAGCUUUCCCUUUAAAGUCAUUUUAUGUUCUUGUGCUUUCUGGAACUUAUUUUAUUUUAAAUUAUUAAUAAUAAUAGGAAUUGCAUCAAAUGUUAUGAUAUGCUAGUAGAAGAGGGAAUAAGCCAAAAUUUAUUAUUUUUGCCUCACUUUCUAAAAUAGUGUUGAUUAAGUAAAACUUGCUUUUCUCUUUUUUAUGUGAGGGCUUAUUUUGCCAUUUGGGUAUGUCACUUUCAUUUAUGUACUUAGGAAGCAUUAGGAUUUAAGAACAUUGUUAAAAUAAGUCUUUAUAACUUUAGAAAUGUGGUUACUUUGGAAAUGGAAAAACCUAGACUAGCCAUACUACUUUUUUAGACAACGGAAGACUUACGGAAAUGAAUGAAAGGCAAAUUCAAUUGGAAAAAAGAGAUUAAUUUCUUAUUAAAUCAAAUUCUAUAUUUAUAAAUUUUGCUGAUAAAUCCACUCUUGUAUAUUAUUCAGCAUGUUUUUAUUCAGUUCAUUUUUAGAAUAGUUUAUCUACAGCAGUAAGUCUAUGUGAAAUCUAAAAAUUUGACUAACUUGUAUUAUAUUUCAUUUUUACAGUAGGCAGUGGAUAGUCAUUUUCACUGCUAAAUCUAUGUACCAAAUCUACUGAGUAUUGCAAAAACACACUGGAUAGAAUAUUAUUUGCAAAGUGAUUCUUGUUGUCAUUCACCAUAGAUUCUUUUGGGACAAAAAAAUUCUUAAAGAUAAAAUGUUGCCUGUAUUUAUAAAAAUUAUUGAGGAUUCUUCCCAAAAAUAGAGAUGAGAAAAUAAAAUUUAAAUGAUCAAAUGAUUAAGUUUGCUCUAUAGCCAAGUGUUUUGGUCUAAGUGUCUUUGAUUGAAAACGUUUGGAUAAAAGCACAGUGACAAUUAUGAAGCAUGUCCAGAAUUUUCCGGUUACAGUUAGACAUAAAAAAAAUCAAAGAGCCAUUAUUGCAACAUUGGUAAUCUAUCUGUCUAAUACAAUCUAUCUUUUGAAAGUUUCUUGAAGACAGUAAUAAGUAAAGAGAAAAGUUACAGAUUUGGGCCCUGACUAUGAAAUGCCAAAAUGUUAUGAAAUUGGAGGCUAUUGAUUAUUUUACAUGAUAAUUUUAGUAGUUGGUGUUUUUAAGUAUUUCCACUCCAAGUAUUUUUUAAAGUAUUUUUAAACUAAAUGUGAAUCUUUGAUUUAUGCCUUUAAAAUUGCUAAUUGAUUUUUAUUUUAUUUUUAUUUUCAAGAUUGUUGGAUUAUUCAAUUCAAUAAGCUUCCAGAUAACAACCUAUAGAUUGUUAGUUGUGAGGCUAUAUUGUGUAUUUUAAUUAUUUCUUGAUAUAAUUUUAAGUUACCAUGUAUUGAAUUAUAACUGGCCCUAAAACAUUUUUUAAUUUGUAAAUUUUAUUUUUAUAACUUUUAUUGAAAUAUAACAUACUUUAAAAAUAUAACAUAUAUUACAAAAUUGCUUUAUUAAUUUUCAAAAAAUGAAUACACCUAUAAAACCACUACUCAGAUGAAAGGAUUACCAGAACCUCAAAGCUCCCUCAUAUUCUCUGCUAGUCACUACCAUCCUGUACCAAAAUAAAUAACUUGAUUUUCAAAACCAAAAGUUAGAUGUUUUUUAUUUGCUUGUUUCUCUUCAUUUAUUAUUAUUAUUGAGAUAAAAUUCACAUAAUAUAAAAUUCACCAUUUUAAAAUAUACAAUUCAGUCAUUUUUAAAACAUUCAUAAUGUUGCUGAGUCAUCACAACUGGGUAAUUCCAGAACACCUCUGCCACUCUGAAAAGAAAUCCCAUAAUCAUUCUCCAUUCCCUCAUCUCCAGGAAACCACUAAUUUACUUUCUGUCUCUAUGGCUUUGUCUAUUACGCAUAUUUCAUAUGAAUGGAAUUGUAUAAUAUAUGCUUUUGUGUCUGGCUUUUCUUAGUAUGAUGUUAUUAAAGUUCAUCCAUGUUUUAGCACAUAUCAGUACUUCACUCUUUUCAUGGCUAAAAUGUAUCGCAUUGUAUAGCUAUACUGCAUUUUAUUUGUUAAUUAAUUAAAGGACAUUUGAGUUGUUUCCA